CUGCGGUGACAGAUGGAAGAACAGUUUAUCCAUGCUGAGAAAUGAUAUCGUCGUGCUGACCUUUGACCCCUGACAGCUCAUCUCUCACCGUGAUCAACUCCUCAGGAGCAAAAGCGAACAGCAGCCGGAUCGAUCAGGCAGUUUGUCAAAGGCGCUCUCGGAGGGGUUCGCUCUGCCGUUGAUCGGACACGGGCCCUCGUUAUGUGUAUUUAUUGGAUAUCAGGCACACGGCAUCAGCAGUACAUGUCAUCCAAAAUCAAAGCAGCACCACCAGAGGGAGGGGGCUCCAAGAAAAGCUGCAUUCUCUCAGUUAAAGUUGGACAGCGCAAACUGAUCGUUUUUGACGGUACUAUACUUGACGCAAAAAGAGGUCCAGUGUGGAAGGUUCCGCUGGAGCAGAUGCUGGGUCAGCACCUCCGAGGCGUUAGGACGAAGAUGACCACUCAAGCUUGCCGGGAAAAG